UACGUAGGGGGCGAGCGUUGUCCGGAAUCAUUGGGCGUAAAGCGCGUGUAGGCGGCUCGAUAAGUCCGGUGUGAAACCUUGGGGCUCAACCCCAAGCCUGCACUGGAUACUGCCGAGCUAGAGUCCGGGAGGGGAGAGCGGAAUUCCUAGUGUAGCGGUGAAAUGCGCAGAUAUUAGGAAGAACACCGGUGGCGAAGGCGGCUCACUGGCCCGGUACUGACGCUGAGGUGCGAAAGCGUGGGGAGCAAACAGG
rnacentral:rRNA from 1 species